rnacentral:rRNA from 1 species
UGACGAGCGGCGGACGGGUGAGUAAUGUCUGGGAAACUGCCUGAUGGAGGGGGACAACUACUGGAAACGGUAGCUAAUACCGCAUAACGUCGCAAGACCAAAGAGGGGGACCUUCGGGCCUCUUGCCAUCAGAUGUGCCCAGAUGGGAUUAGCUAGUAGGUGGGGUAACGGCUCACCUAGGCGACGAUCCCUAGCUGGUCUGAGAGGAUGACCAGCCACACUGGAACUGAGACACGGUCCAGACUCCUACGGGAGGCAGCAGUGGGGAAUAUUGCACAAUGGGCGCAAGCCUGAUGCAGCCAUGCCGCGUGUAUGAAGAAGGCCUUCGGGUUGUAAAGUACUUUCAGCGGGGAGGAAGGUGUUGUGGUUAAUAACCACAGCAAUUGACGUUACCCGCAGAAGAAGCACCGGCUAACUCCGUGCCAGCAGCCGCGGUAAUACGGAGGGUGCAAGCGUUAAUCGGAAUUACUGGGCGUAAAGCGCACGCAGGCGGUCUGUCAAGUCGGAUGUGAAAUCCCCGGGCUCAACCUGGGAACUGCAUUCGAAACUGGCAGGCUAGAGUCUUGUAAGGGGGGUAGAAUUCCAGGUGUAGCGGUGAAA